rnacentral:lncRNA from 1 species
GAAAGUUGGAUGCCAAGGUAGAAGGCAUCAUCAUUUCUCAAGCAGAACCAAUACCCACCACACAGAACGCCCAUCAGUACUCCUCCAGCAGCAAGGACUCUACCUUUGGUAUCAGGACAGCAGACAGCCACUUGCCUUCAGAAACACAAGCACCACCUGCAGCAUCACUCCCAGCACGAAAGCAGAUCCACUCACCAUGACGGUGCAGUCCUCAGAACCGCUGGCGAUGACCUGGUCGUUGUGGGGACACCAGUCUAUGUCCAGCACGGGUCCCGUGUGCCCGCACACCGUUGGGUAGGACUUGUCAAUUCGACCCGUCUUGUGCAAAGGCAGCACCAGGAAGGCCCCGCCGCCGCUCGCAUCCACGAUGAUUGCAACGAACCUGGGGUUCACAGCACAGAAGGAGCUGUCCCAGGUGACGCGGGAGACGCGGAUGUCGUCGUAGCACUGGUCGUUCUUCACUGCCUGGCCGAACACAUGCCGGAAUUUGCUCUGUCGUACCACUCGCCUCAUUGUGUCGCGAUCCUUCAGCCGCCUCCCCGC